UGGUGGGCUGAUGGUUGUAGUUGACUGUUUUUGAAAAAAGAACACUAACUGUAGGCAUAGUAAUUGCUCUUGGAUGGGGAUUUAAAGCAAGGUUCCUAUUGAUCUCCUUCAGAUAAUGUGGCCUCUUCAUUUUCAACUGGGAAGGACCUGCAUGGACUUGAGAAUACAGAGCCAAUCGUUUUUUUUGUGGGUGUCUCAGAGAUCCCACCUUUGGAACAGUUGCCAGAGGCCUCAAGGCUGUGCCGUGCCUCUUGGUCCCAUCCCUCUAGCACCUAGCGUUACCGCGCCAGAAGAGAGAAACCUUAAGUUCAAGAGGGAUCUCUCGUAUGCAGUGCUGCUCCUUUGCCUCGUCAAGAUGCUUUGGGGGGUGAGAGGCCAUACAUUGACCCUGAUAUAUCAGUGGCACACAUUGCCGGAUGGCAAUUGGCCGUCUGAUAAAAGAACAUGCACUGAGUCAGGGUUUGUCUCGGCCUGAAUAUCUGCCACAACACAGGCCGCCUUGGUGGCCCAGAGGAGUUGCCCUUUGCCUCAGUCAGUGACGGAAAAGGUGAAGGGCGUAAAGCUUUCACUGCUGAAAAGCUGAGGCAGGUGGUACGCUCAUACAAUACGUAUUACAAUCUCCAGCAGUCUGUUGAGGCACCACCAUCACCCCCCUCACCAGCACCAGCAACACCAGCAGCAGCAGAAACACCUGCUGCGCCUCUCACCCCCCUCACCAGCACCAGCAACACCAG